UAAUAACAAGUUGUGAAGUUUCAGAAUAACAGGCAACUCUCCUUUGGCAGAGAGAACAGCCACAACGAUGGCUUCAUUUGUAUUAAGCUAUUUGUUUUUUUUCCUUCUUUCUGCCAAAGGAGAAUUGCCCUGCUAUUCAACCACACAGGCACAAGAAAGCUUUCCUGCUUAGGAUGGAAGAUUUUCUUACCAAAAUAAGGUAAACCUUCCUUGCAAAGCUCAAUCAGACUGAUGGCUUCUGUUCUCUGGUUUCUUCAUUGAUCGAUUUCUAGCUAGAAGAUCUGAUCUUGAUUUUCUCACCAUACAGCUCGAUUUUCUUCCUUGAAAUAAUUUUUCAGUGAAUUUUAAAGUUGUGAAAGAAGAAAAAAAGUCAAACAUAUAGGUACUAUACAUGUACUGGACAUUAAAAUUAAAUUAUAAGUUGCAAAUUCUAUGAAUUUUGAGUUAGAAUUUUGGGCAAUAAUUUAUAUUUAUGAGUAUAUUAAAAUUAGAUCAUAGAUGUAUGAAAUAUAUAAAAAGUUAAGGCUAUAUUAAGGGUAAAUCUAGGAAUAUGAUUCUUGCAUAAUUGUGCCAAAACUCUUCAUUUAUAGUUGCAUUUAUCAAGAAAUUUCUUUGAAGGCUAUAUAUGUCAAAUUGGCCAUUUUAGAACAAGAAGCCAAGUUCUUU